rnacentral:rRNA from 1 species
UACGUAGGGGGCAAGCGUUGUCCGGAAUCAUUGGGCGUAAAGAGCGUGUAGGCGGUUCGGUAAGUCCGCUGUGAAAGUCCAGGGCUCAACCCUGGGAUGUCGGUCGAUACUGCCGGACUAGAGUUCGGAAGAGGCGAGUGGAAUUCCCGGUGUAGCGGUGAAAUGCGCAGAUAUCGGGAGGAACACCUAUGGCGAAGGCAGCUCGCUGGGACGUUACUGACGCUGAGACGCGAAAGCGUGGGGAGCAAACAGG